UCCCCCCCUCCCCUGUCCCAUAGUGUUCUCCACCCCUCCCUUGACUUUUCAUGUUAUCAUUACCAUCUUUUAUUGUGAUAUAUAUUAUCACCUGAAUUGUUAAUGCAAGCAUGUCUGUUAAACUAUGCACUACAAAAAUUAAAUAUAUAUUUUCUUUCUUUUUUUCUUUUUCUUUUUUGCAAAUUUGACCCGUUUUCUUCCGAAACGUAAUAGACCCAUUUUCGGCCAAAAACUUUUGCAGACAAAAUUUUGGUGCAUCCCUAAAUGGCAACAUUUCAAACAAAACACUUCCUUUGAAACAUUUUGUUUCUGGAAGAAUUGGAACAUAUAUGUAUAACACAAAUCUAGAAUCUUAACAUAUCCUACAUCUCUUAAAGGAAUGCUAAACACAAAAUAGUGCAUGUCCAAACUCACCAGAGUUGUUAGAUUAUUUCAGAGCUACUAACCGUGAAGUAUCUUCCCCCUUUAUAUACCGAUAUUAGUGGGGUGAAUGGUAUGUGUCGAGCUAAGCACAAGCAGGUUGUGUGCAUGUGCACCACAUAUAGCACAUUGUAGCAUAAUGUGUUGGUCAAGAAAUUUGAAGUGUUUUAAGUUUUUUACUUAAUCUUAUUUAUAAUAAAGAAAGGGAAAGAUUAAUUUACAUCUGUUUUCCUUGCCACAUUUGCAAACUAGGUAUGUUUCCAUAAAUUUGAAACUGCUUAAGGAAUGUCCUGAUGAUUUGCCCUGAGAUGUAUAUGUAAUAAUUUUGCAUGUCAUGUGGCUAAUUUUAUAAUGCAUCCUUUCUCAUAUAUUAGACGAAUAACUGUGCUCUAUGUUUUAGGUUGGCAGUAUGCUGACCAUAUUAUUAAAGGACACCUUGUGGCUUUUACUUUUUAAUUUUCUAAUUCUGACUGACUUCUCAACUCUGCAUCCUACAAGAAAGGCUUUUCUUUUGCAUCUUUUGUAAUUCCCGAGCUUCUUUGAAUGAAAAUAACCUCAAUCAGUUGUACCAGAUGUGGGGUUGUGAAUACAUUUUGUUCCUUUAAGAGAACUCAAUUGUGUUGUACAUGAAAGUAGGCUGUAGUUGUAUGUGCAGAUGGGAUAGAUCACAAGGCCUGUUUGAAGUAACUUUCUGUACUGAAGCUCACAGAGCCCUUUGACGUUAGUACUGCUUUUAGUAAACUUUGGACGGUGCUAGAAAGUUUAUUCAAUAGAACUUAUAGAUUCUUCCCACGUUAUAUUAAAUAUAAUGGCCUGUCUUCCAACAGACAUGGAAUACUCACACUGUAAAAUACUUUAUUGUAUCCAUUUGGCAACAUAUACUUCUGCAAUUGAUUUUGAAAGUGCUGUACCCAGCUGUGAGCUGUCGGCGUUGAGUGCAUCCCAUGCAAAAAUAAUAGUUAAUGCAAUAAUGUAGAGAGUGUCGAAGCUGGUAUCUACAGUAAACCAAGCCAAGCUCUGCCUUAGAUUAGCCGGGUUCCCCAUAAUGCUUUAACACAUAGUAGGCCUUUGAGACUUAAAGGCUUUAAUAUUAAGCUUUAAUAGCUGGUUUGUUUGUUUAUUAUGUGCCUCCCUACUGAAGAGGUUAUUGUAACUUUUAGAAAGGUUAUAUAUGUACCCUAAAUAUUUAUUUAUUAGACCUUAUUUUUCUUAUCUUAACAAGGUAUUAACUAGUGAAUUUGUUCUCUAGCAGCAGAGUUAAGGCACCUAUAAUCAGACUUUAUAGAACAAUUCUGGGCAUUCUUGUGUCAAUUUUUUUUUUUUUAACCUGAAUUUCCCUUUUCUAGUGCCUUUAUAUGUCAUAUUCAGCUAAUCAGUUUAUGAUGUCUGACACUGUCACUGUUAUCUUAUUUUUCAGGAUUUUUUUUAUUUGAAUAUGGUGCAAUUAUUUUUUUUUUUGAUAGAUUAAAUAGCAUUGUUUACUUGUUUAUGAAAUUAAACUCAAACAUGUUUUUCAGCAAUAUUUCCUAUAGUUAAUAUAUAUUUUUUUCUCUUCUAACCCCCUCCCCUCGCUUUCCAAUUGCUCAGUGGAUGAUAAAUAUUGCACUUGAAAUAGUUGUUCUAAUGCUUACCCCUUUUCUUAUUUCAUGCAUUUGUUUAAAAAAUAUUUUUCACCUCUUAGUGCAGCGUUCAUGCACUAUGUGGCAUGCGUGGUUCGUAAUGUGCCUUGGCUUCUAAUGGCUUAAUGUCUGCUGUUUUUAUCAUUACACCAUCACACUUUUUUUUAGAACCAGUGUAUUGUGUGCUGAAAUGACACUAAUGGUUAAGAGAAGGCAAAUCAAUUUGAAUUGUCUGCUUUAUUUCCAAGUACAGUUUGAGUGGGUUUUAGCUAGUUGUGAUUGACACCUUUUCCCCCUUUUUCUCUCUUUUCUUUAACUGUUCUGUAAGAAGAGUAUAAUUUUAGUCAUUUCAGUUUUCGCAGAGACAUUGCAAACCAAAGUAGGAAUAUUCCAUAACAUUUUUUUUAUACUUUUUUUUUUUUCUUUUCAAGAACACAGUUCCUUAAUGAUUUAAAUGCAGGUGUUUUUCUUUUUCAUAGUUGUAUUAAGUUAGUAUAAACUCAUGAAAUGUGGAGUUCAUUUUUAUUUUUAACCUAUUAAGGUACAGAAGUAACAUUUGUAAAGGCUAAUCUUAGCUGGUUUUGCAGUUGAAUACUAAAAUGUGAUUUAUUUAUAUGGUAAUUUUUAAUUGUAAUCAGCCUGAUAGUAUUCAACUGUGCAGAAUACGGCAUGUUAACAAUUGCUAAACACUACACUGAAACAAAUGACCUAAUUCUGUUUGUAAUGAUUAAUGGUUUCCUGUAUUAUUGAUUCUUCCCAGCAGUUUAGUAUGAUAUGCAUAUUAUGUACAUACAAUUUAGCUAUGUAAUAAUCCCUUUGUCUUAAUUAUAGUUCUAAGACUCCUAAUUAAUAUGUACAAUAUUCAGUUUGUUGAGUGGCUAAUGCUGUUCUUAAAUGUAUCCACAAAUGAUAAAUAUUGUAGAUUUAAUGUAUAAAAUAUAUACAUGCUAUUUUCAUAUGUCAUCUGCUACAGUUUUUUUUAACUGUUUGUUUUUACUGUGACUUUUUAAAUAUGUUAAAAAUUAACAUUAUUAAGAAAAAUAGACUUGUGUUUUUCUUUGGAUCACUGGAAAUAAAUAUUUCUGUUUACAUUGGAUAUUUACUCAAAUAUAUUUCUUAGAUCUAGCUAUAAGAACAAAGAGAGAAAACCUGUAUGAAUCAAGGUUUUUUUUAUGGUGUCCAUUUCAAGGUUUACCCAUAUGAUCUAAUGUAGAGAAUACAAACUAGCUGCAUUUGAUUUUUAUCUAUCUGACUUGUAAAACACUUUAACAUACUGUGUAUUCUAAAUUAUAUUUUCCUUGUUACCAGGUAACAUUUUUCCCCUUUUAGUCCGAUAACAUUGACAAAGAAAAUACUUAAUCGCUUAUGACAAAAUGUAAACCAUGUUACUGGUUUGUGAGUAGUGCAAUGUGGACAGCCAAAUGUAAAAAAAAAAAAGGUGUGUGG